GCCUGGGUGGCUCAGUUGGUUAAGUGUCUGACUUCGGCUCAGGUCAUGAUCUCACGAUUUGCAGGUUCGAGCUCCGCUUCGGGCU
rnacentral:tRNA from 1 species